CUGGGAGACGGGAGAGCCUGGGGCACAGGGAGUUUCUCUUAGUGAAGAAAAGGCCGCCUCCAGAUCAGAAGAUGGAGAGAAGGGUGACUGACGGGAAAGAAGGGGCUCCGUGGGACCAGGAUGCCUAGAGCCGGGGAAGCGUUUGGCAGAGUCGCCUGCAUGACCCUGCGGAUAAUAUAAGAGCCUCACUAGUGAAUUCAGAAAUGGCGGGAUAGCAGAGCCCAAAGAGCCAUCAACAAAUGGAUCAACCUGUAAAGUCUCCUCUGAGCCUCAUCCGCAGGAACUACACAGUGACUGACAUCAUCAAGAUGGGGCUGGCUGCCAUGGCCCUCACUGCCUUGGGGGCUCUGCUGGCAGAGGACUGGUACAGCCAGAACCGGACCAAGAAGGGUUCGGGCGGGACUCUCAACAAGAAGCUGCCCAGGGGCAAGAAGAAGGUAUAAUUUGGUUCAGCCUCACUGGGAAGUCUGGAGCGGGGGGCAGGCAGGGAGGGGAGACUUCCCCAGCCCUGACGGGGUCCCCCGCCCUCUGUAACCCUCUGUACCUCCUCCCUGUGUGAGCCAUAAACUUUCUCGGAGCAUAGCUGUCAGAGCCCUGCCCUGUGCCCCAGAAGGAUGGG
rnacentral:lncRNA from 1 species